GAUGAAGAACGUAGCGAAAUGCGAUACGUAAUGUGAAUUGCAAAUUCAGUGAAUCAUCGAGCCUUUGAACGCACAUUGCGCCCCCUGGUAUUCCGGGGGGCAUGCCUGUCCGAGCGUCAUUGCUGCCCUCAAGCACGGCUUGUGUGUUGGGCCCCGUCCUCCGAUUCCGGGGGACGGGCCCGAAAGGCAGCGGCGGCACCGCGUCCGGUCCUCGAGCGUAUGGGGCUUUGUCACCCGCUCUGUAGGCCCGGCCGGCGCUUGCCGAUCAACCCAAAUUUUUAUCCAGGUUGACCUCGGAUCAGGUAGGGAUACCCGCUGAACUUAAGCAUAUCAAUAAGCGGAGGA
rnacentral:misc_RNA from 1 species